CGCGGUAUCUUGACCGUGCAAAGGUAGCAUAAUCAUUUGCCUUUUUAUUGGAGGCUAGAAUGAAGGAAAAAAUAAGAAUAUGACUGUCUCUAUUGCAAAAUAAAAAUUGCUGGUAGCGUGAAGAAGCGAAAGUAACAAAAAAAGACAAGAAGACCCUAUUAAGCUUUACUUUAAAAUUUUAUUUUUUAUCUUAAAAGAAUAAAAAAUAAAAUUAUGUUAGUUUGGUUGGGGUGACUAAAAAGGAAAAAAUCCUUUUUUUAGAAGAAUACUUUAAGUUUAAUAAAAGAUCCAAGCUUUUUGAUUAUUAGAAUAAGUUACUAUAGGGAUAACAGCGUAAUUUUUUCAGAGAGUUCUCAUUGACGAAAAAGAUUGCGACCUCGAUGUUGACUUGUU
rnacentral:rRNA from 1 species